AGUGAACGCUGGCGGUAGGCCUAACACAUGCCAGUCGAACGGCAGCACAGUAAGAGCUUGCUCUUACGGGUGGCGAGUGGCGGACGGGUGAGGAAUACAUCUGAAUCUACUUUUUCGUGGGGGAUAACGUAGGGAAACUUACGCUAAUACCGCAUACGACCUACGGGUGAAAGCAGGGGAUCUUCGGACCUUGCGCGAUUGAAUGAGCCGAUGUCGGAUUAGCUAGUUGGCGGGGUAAAGGCCCACCAAGGCGACGAUCCGUAGCUGGUCUGAGAGGAUGAUCAGCCACACUGGAACUGAGACACGGUCCAGACUCCUACGGGAGGCAGCAGUGGGGAAUAUUGGACAAUGGGCGAAAGCCUGAUCCAGCCAUACCGCGUGGGUGAAGAAGGCCUUCGGGUUGUAAAGCCCUUUUGUUGGGAAAGAAAAGCAGCAGGUUAAUACCCCGCUGUUCUGACGGUACCCAAAGAAUAAGCACCGGCUAACUUCGUG
rnacentral:rRNA from 1 species